GGCUCAGAACGAACGCUGGCGGCGUGCUUCAUACAUGCAAGUCGAACGAGAAAAUUCCGCUUCGGUGGAAUAAGUACAGUGGCAAACGGGUGAGUAACACGUGGGCAACCUGCUCUCAAAUUGGGGAUAACUCUGCCAACGCGGGGCUAAUACCGAAUGUUAUCCUGACAUCUCAUGAUGAUAGGAUGAAAGCUAUUUUUUAACAAGAUGGCGUUUGAGAAGGGGCCCGCGGCCUAUUACUUGUUGGUGAGGUAAUGGCUCACCAAGGCGACGAUAGGUAGCCGGCCUGAGAGGGUGUUCGGCCACACUGGGACUGAGAUACGGCCCAGACUCCUACGGGAGGCAGCAGUAGGGAAUAUUGCGCAAUGCCCGAAAGGGUGACGCAGCAACGCCGCGUGGAUGAUGAAGUUUUUCGGAACGUAAAAUCCUGUCAGGAGGGAAGAAACUCUCAAUUUUUAUUGGGACUGACGGUACCUCCAGAGGAAGCUCCGGCCAACUCCGUGCCAGCAGCCGCGGUAACACGGGGGGAGCAAGCGUUGUUCGGAUUCACUGGGCGUAAAGGGCGUGUAGGCGGAUGGGUCAGUCAGAUGUGAAAUCCCAAGGCUUAACCUUGGGCCUGCAUUUGAUACUGCUCAUCUAGAGUAUGGGAGAGGAGAUCGGAAUUCCUGGUGUAGCGGUGAAAUGCGUAGAUAUCAGGAAGAACACCGGUGGCGAAGGCGGAUCUCUGGCCUAAUACUGACGCUGAGGCGCGAAAGCUGGGGGAGCAAACAGGAUUAGAUACCCUGGUAGUCCCAGCCGUAAACGAUGGGCACUAGGUGUUGGAGGUAUUGAUCCCUUCAGUGCCGGAGCUAACGCAUUAAGUGCCCCGCCUGGGGAGUACGCUCGCAAGGGUGAAACUUAAAGGAAUUGGCGGGGGAGCACCACCAGGCGUGAAGCCUGCGGUUUAAUUGGAGUCAACGCCGGGAACCUUACCGGGAGUGACAGCAGAGUGAAGGCCAGGCUGAAGACCUUGCCAGACAAGCUGAGAGGAGGUGCAUGGCCGUCGCCAGUUCGUGCCGUGAGGUGUUCUCUUAAGUGAGAUAACGAACGAGACCCGUGCCGCAUGUUGCCAUCAGAACCUAUAGGGUUGCUGAGCACUCUUGCGGGACCGCAGCCGAUAAGGCUGAGGAAGGGGCGGGCAACGGCAGGUCAGUAUGCCCCGAAUCUCCCGGGCCACACGCGGGCUGCAAUGGUACGGACAGAGGGCUGCCACCCCGAGAGGGGGAGCCAAUCCCUAAACCGUACCUCAGUUGGGAUCGAGGGCUGCAACCCGCCCUCGUGAACAUGGAAUGCCUAGUAACUGCCGGUCAUCAUCCGGCGGUGAAUACGUCCCUGCUCCUUGCACACACUGCCCGUCGAACCACCCGAAUGAGGUUUGGGUGAGGCAUGGUCGAAUGUUGGCCGUGUCGAACUUGGGCCUCGUAAGGAGGGUUAAGUCGUAACAAGGUG
rnacentral:rRNA from 1 species